rnacentral:rRNA from 1 species
GACGAACGCUGGCGGCGUGCUUAACACAUGCAAGUCGAACGGAAAGGCCCUGCUUUUGUGUGGUGCUCGAGUGGCGAACGGGUGAGUAACACGUGAGUAACCUGCCCUUGACUUUGGGAUAACUUCAGGAAACUGGGGCUAAUACCGGAUAUGAGCUCCUGCUGCAUGGUGGGGGUUGGAAAGUUUCGGCGGUUUGGGAUGGACUCGCGGCUUAUCAGCUUGUUGGUGGGGUAGUGGCUUACCAAGGCUUUGACGGGUAGCCGGCCUGAGAGGGUGACCGGCGACAUGGGGACUAAGAGACGGAGCAGACGCGUACGGGAGGCAGCGGUGGAGAAUAUGGCACAAUGGGGGGAAGCGUGAUGCAGCAGCGCCGCGUGCGGGAAGACGGCUUUCGGGGUGUAAACCGCUUUCGCCUGUGACGAAGCGUGAGUGACGGUAAUGGGUAAAGAAGCACCGGCUAACUACGUG